rnacentral:rRNA from 1 species
GAACGCUGGCGGCAGGCUUAACACAUGCAAGUCGAGCGGAAACGAAGGUAGCUUGCUACCAGACGUCGAGCGGCGGACGGGUGAGUAAUGCUUAGGAAUCUACCGAGUAGUGGGGGAUAGCCAUUGGAAACGAUGAUUAAUACCGCAUAUAUCCUACGGGGGAAAGCAGGGGACCUUCGGGCCUUGCGCUAUUCGAUGAGCCUGAGUGAGAUUAGCUAGUUGGUGGGGUAAAGGCCUACCAAGGCGACGAUCUCUAGCUGGUCUGAGAGGAUGAUCAGCCACACUGGGACUGAGACACGGCCCAGACUCCUACGGGAGGCAGCAGUGGGGAAUAUUGCACAAUGGACGAAAGUCUGAUGCAGCCAUGCCGCGUGUGUGAAGAAGGCCUUCGGGUUGUAAAGCACUUUCAGCGAGGAGGAAAGGUCAGUAAGUAAUAUUUGCUGGCUGUGACGUUACUCGCAGAAGAAGCACCGGCUAAUUUAGUGCCAGCAGCCGCGGUAAUACUAAAGGUGCAAGCGUUAAUCGGAAUUACUGGGCGUAAAGCGCGCGUAGGUGGUUUGUUAAGUUGGAUGUGAAAGCCCAGGGCUCAACCUUGGAACUGCAUUCAAAACUGACUCACUAGAGUACGAGAGAGGUUAGUGGAAUUUCCUGUGUAGCGGUGAAAUGCGUAGAGAUGGGA